GGGGAAUAUUGCACAAUGGGCGAAAGCCUGAUGCAGCAACGCCGCGUGAGGGAUGACGGCCUUCGGGUUGUAAACCUCUUUUAGUAGGGAAGAAGCGAAAGUGACGGUACCUGCAGAAAAAGCACCGGCUAACUACGUGCCAGCAGCCGCGGUAAUACGUAGGGUGCAAGCGUUGUCCGGAAUUAUUGGGCGUAAAGAGCUCGUAGGCGGCUUGUCGCGUCUGCCGUGAAAACCCAGGGCUCAACCCUGGGCGUGCGGUGGGUACGGGCAGGCUAGAGUGCGGUAGGGGAGAUUGGAAUUCCUGGUGUAGCGGUGGAAUGCGCAGAUAUCAGGAGGAACACCGAUGGCGAAGGCAGAUCUCUGGGCCGCUACUGACGCUGAGGAGCGAAAGCAUGGGGAGCGAAC
rnacentral:rRNA from 1 species